AAAAAUACGGAAAAUCGCCAGAAGCAAAAGGCGAGGCAUAUAGCUGGUUCAAAAUCGUACUCGCAGAUUAGCUAUGAGAAGAGGGACGAGGAGACUGGGAAGGAACCAACUAUUCUACAACUUUGGCAGAUCACUCAUACACGAAAUGGAUCGUGGUCUAAUGAAGAAUCACAGACUGUUUAUGACAAUGCACGCAUCCAGAUUAGGGAGAAAGAAGGAGAGAUUGGUGGUCCAAUUUCAAGUGAAGAGCAAAACAAUAUUUUCCAGAAUAGCUACAGA